CCUACGGGUGGCUGCAGUGGGGAAUAUUGGACAAUGGGCGAAAGCCUGAUCCAGCCAUGCCGCGUGUGUGAAGAAGGCCUUCGGGUUGUAAAGCACUUUCGGUGGGGAAGAAAGCCUUGGGGCUAAUACCCUCGAGGAAGGACAUCACCCACAGAAGAAGCACCGGCUAACUCCGUGCCAGCAGCCGCGGUAAUACGGAGGGUGCGAGCGUUAAUCGGAAUUACUGGGCGUAAAGCGCGCGUAGGCGGUCUGAUAAGCCGGUUGUGAAAGCCCCGGGCUCAACCUGGGAACGGCAUCCGGAACUGUCAGGCUAGAGUGCAGGAGAGGAAGGUAGAAUUCCCGGUGUAGCGGUGAAAUGCGUAGAGAUCGGGAGGAAUACCAGUGGCGAAGGCGGCCUUCUGGACUGACACUGACGCUGAGGUGCGAAAGCGUGGGUAGCAAACAGGAUUAGAUACCCGUGUAGUC
rnacentral:rRNA from 1 species